rnacentral:rRNA from 1 species
UGUGUCAGUGCAAGCCUUUCCUUACGGUGAAACCGCGAAUGGCUCAUUAAAUCAGUCUUUAUCCGUUGGACUUAACGGGAACGUGUCCUUAAUCGGAUAACUGUGGUAAUUCUAGAGCUAAUACAUGCCUCGAGUUCCAAAAGUGUUUUUUUGAACACGAGUAGGACGCAAUUAUUAGAUCCAAAAAUUUUAUGUAAUUUGGGCUUGGUGUAAAUUUUGGUGAAUCUGGAUAAUUACUGCAGAGCGCUUCAAUUGUGCCGGCGCUUGACCUAUGAAGAGUCUGCCCUAUCAGCUUGAUUGUAGAUUAAAUGUCUACAAUGGCUACAACGGGUAACGGGGAAUCAGGGUUCGAUUCCGGAGAGGGAGCAUGAGAAAUGGCUACCACAUCUAAGGAAGGCAGCAGGCACGAAAAUUGCUCAAUCUUAGCUCGAGGAAGCAGUGACAAAAUAUCUUGAUGCGGGACUCUUCCGAGGCCUCGCAAUCAGGAUGCGUUUACUUUAAAUAAGUUGACUGACCGCAAAUGGAGGGCAAGUCUGGUGCCAGCAGCCGCGGUAAUUCCAGCUCCAUUAGCAUAUGUUUUAAUUGCUGAGGUUAAAAAGCUCGUAGUUGGACUUAUUACUCAGGGCARAAGACGUGUCGGAGUUGACAUAACCUCUGUUGCUGAGUUUUUAUGAGACCGUCGAUACUUUUUUAUUUAUCGCCUUUGCUGCCCUUAAUUGGCGUCAAAAGUAGCAUUAAAAAAGUUUCGACAAGAUCACUUUGGAGAAAUUAGAGUGUUCAAAGCACUCAUUGCAUAAUUGCCUACAUGGUAGUACAUGGAAUGAUGAAAGAUGAUCUCUGCCUUGUUUAUUAAAUAAAAUACCUUAUGGCACCAAGCAAAAAUUCAAGGUAUGAGAUAAUGAUUAAAGGGAACUGCCGGGGGGUUUUGUAUUACAAUGCGAGAGGUGAAAUUCUUGGACCGUUGUAAGACAUACUAUCGCGAAAGCAUUCGUCAAGAAUGUUUUCAUUAAUCAAGACCGAAAGUUAGAGUUUAGAAGGAGAUCAGAUACCUCCCUAUUUCUACCCGUAAACUAUGGAAACCGGUUGUCCGUCGUUAAUUUUUUACGAUGGACGUGCAGCCC